rnacentral:misc_RNA from 1 species
UUUCCGUAGGUGAACCUGCGGAAGGAUCAUUAAUGAGUUGUCAUGGGGUUCGAUGCUGGCAGCCAGUUUUUGGAUGCAUGUGCUUGCCCUAACAAUCAUCUUCUUCCAAACACCUGUGCACAUUUUUGAGGGAGUCUUGAGUUGGUUGCCGCUCUUGGGUGAUUUUCUCACAUUCCCUUAAAUCAUUAUACGCUAUUAACAAUGUUGAACGUGCUCUGUGUCGCAAGGCCAUUAAUAUAAUACAACUUUUAACAACGGAUCUCUUGGCUCUC